rnacentral:rRNA from 1 species
GACGAACGCUGGCGGCGUGCUUAACACAUGCAAGUCGAGCGGUAAGGCCCUUUCGGGGGUACGACGAGCGGCGAACGGGUGAGUAACACGUGGGUGACCUGCCCUCAGCUCUGGGGUAAGCCUGGGAAACCGGGUCUAAUACCGGAUAUGACUCCAUGACGCAUGUUGUGGGGUGGAAAGCCUUGUGCGGCUGAGGAUGGGCCCGCGGCCUAUCAGCUUGUUGGUGGGGUGAUGGCCUACCAAGGCGACGACGGGUAGCCGGCCCGACGAGGGCGACCGGCCACACUGGGACUGAGACACGGCCCAGACUCCUACGGGAGGGCAGCAGUGGGGAAUCUUGCGCAAUGGGCGAAAGCCUGACGCAGCGACGCCGCGUGAGGAUGACGGCCU